rnacentral:lncRNA from 1 species
CCCUCUUUACAGCUCUUAGCAAAUUCGUGUCAAAAAGUCGAAUUCAAAGUAUCCUUGAUUAAGCACGCGCCGCUUGUAUUUAAAUGUUUCAACUUUCACUCGUAGUCACAUUCGAAAUUACAACAGAGAAUGAGGAAUUACAGGCUAUUCCGGAUCUUAGGAACUGUGUCUUAACGUCCCAAAUAAAACUCAAUUUAGUGGUUUUAGGAUUUUAAUAUUCUAUGGCAACUGUGAAAAGGUGCGUCGUUCAUUAAGUUCGUUUUGUUUUAAAUCACGGAUUUACGAGCAAAGUUUGAUAUUUAUGUGAGCCAAAUUUUAUCGAAAUGGAUACUAAUUUUAACAACAGUUUUUACAAAUUGGUCAUAAUUUUAAAACAGUGGGAUCGGUCACACCUUCUAAUUGGCUUAAGAAAGUUUACGACAAAUGAAAUGGAUCUAACUAACCGAACACCC